rnacentral:lncRNA from 1 species
UAAAGAAACUACUGAGGCUAAAGACCAAGAAAAAUGCCUUCAAAAGAGCCAGAGAAAGAUGACGUAUAACAUAUAGGUACAUGAUGAUUCUAGUGAGUAUGGAUUUCUCAUCAGCUACUACGCAGACCAGAAGAAAGUGGAACAUCUUUAAAGUGCUGAAAGUGAAGAAUUGUCAUCCUAGAAUUCUACAUCCAGUGAAAAUACCCUUUAGGAAUGAAGGUGAAAUAAAGACAUUCUCAGAUGAAGGAAAACAAAAAAAAAAUUUGCUUCUGGCAGGAAGGGAAAUGAUACCAGAGGGAAACUUGAAACAUCAGGAAUAGAUAAAUAGAAAUGGUAAAUAUCUGGAGAAGGUGGAGAAACCAUGAUGAUUGAGAGUAGAAUAAAUUUAUGCCAUCUAAUCUCAGCCAGAUCAGCCCUGAGCUAACUACUGCCAGUCCUCCUCUCUUUUCUGAGGAAGCCUGGCCCUGAGCUAACAUCCAUGCCCAUCUUCCUCUACUUUAUAUGUGGGACGCCUACCACAGCAUGGCAUGCCAAGCCGUGCCAUGUCUGCACCCAGGAUCCGAACCGACGAAUUCCAGGUGGCCGAGAAGCAGAACAUGCGA